CAGCAGCCGCCGCGGUAAUACAGAGGGUGCGAGCGUUAAUCGGAUUUACUGGGCGUAAAGCGUGCGUAGGCGGCUAAUUGAGUCGGAUGUGAAAUCCCCGAGCUUAACUUGGGAAUUGCAUUCGAUACUGGUUAGCUAGAGUGUGGGAGAGGAUGGUAGAAUUCCAGGUGUAGCGGUGAAAUGCGUAGAGAUCUGGAGGAAUACCGAUGGCGAAGGCAGCCAUCUGGCCUAACACUGACGCUGAGGUACGAAAGCAUGGGGAGCAAACAGGAUUAGAUACCCGCGUAGUCCCUGUCUCUUAUAC
rnacentral:rRNA from 1 species